UCCCGGCUAGCUCAAUUGGCUAGAGCGUUGGACUUUUAAUCCGAAGGUUGGGGGUUCGACCCCCCCGUCGGGAG